GUUUUUUUAAUGAGGGUCGAUUACGCCCAUCGUGGCAUCAUGGGGUGAUCUCGCCGAUACGGUGAUACCACGAUGAGCGUAAGUCAGUGGUGUUGACUGCACAUGCAGGACGCGGGUGCGAUACCCGCCGCGUCCACCAUAAUCGGCUGUCUGUCGAGAGGGCAGUUCGGCCGAUUAUGCUGGGCGCGAAAUAGGAUCGACUGGUGUGUAAAGACAGAUGCUGCGUUCCGGCAUGAUACCGUCGUUAUCGGGUCAACAAUGUAAGUGCUAACAGCAAUGUUCCACUUGUUGAGCUACGUAAAGUAGCCUAACGGAGCCCGGCCGGGGCUUGGCAACAGAACCCGGCCACC
rnacentral:tmRNA from 1 species